rnacentral:siRNA from 1 species
ACGGUGUUAACUUUUCGUUAGAAU